rnacentral:tRNA from 1 species
GCGGCCGUAGCUCAGCUGGAUAGAGCGCCUCCCUGCGAAGGAGGAGGUCAGACGUUCAAAUCGUCUCGGUCGCACCA